rnacentral:rRNA from 1 species
UUAAGCGACUAAGCGUACACGGUGGAUGCCUAGGCAGUCAGAGGCGAUGAAGGGCGUGCUAAUCUGCGAAAAGCGUCGGUAAGGUGAUAUGAACCGUUACAACCGACGAUACCCGAAUGGGGAAACCCAGUGCAAUUCGUUGCACUAUUGCAUGGUGAAUACAUAGCCAUGCAAGGCGAACCGGGGGAACUGAAACAUCUAAGUACCCCGAGGAAAAGAAAUCAACCGAGAUUCCCCUAGUAGCGGCGAGCGAACGGGGAGGAGCCCAGAGUCUGAAUCAGUUUGUGUGUUAGUGGAAGCGUCUGGAAAGUCGCACGGUACAGGGUGAUAGUCCCGUACACAAAAACACACUUGCUGUGAACUCGAUGAGUAGGGCGGGACACGUGACAUCCUGUCUGAAUAUGGGGGGACCAUCCUCCAAGGCUAAAUACUCCUGACUGACCGAUAGUGAACCAGUACCGUGAGGGAAAGGCGAAAAGAACCCCGGCGAGGGGAGUGAAAUAGAACCUGAAACCGUGUACGUACAAGCAGUGGGAGCACCUUCGUGGUGUGACUGCGUACCUUUUGUAUAAUGGGUCAGCGACUUAUAUUUUGUAGCAAGGUUAACCGAAUAGGGGAGCCGUAGGGAAACCGAGUCUUAACUGGGCGUCUAGUUGCAAGGUAUAGACCCGAAACCCGGUGAUCUAGCCAUGGGCAGGUUGAAGGUUGGGUAACACUAACUGGAGGACCGAACCGACUAAUGUUGAAAAAUUAGCGGAUGACUUGUGGCUGGGGGUGAAAGGCCAAUCAAACCGGGAGAUAGCUGGUUCUCCCCGAAAGCUAUUUAGGUAGCGCCUCGUGAACUCAUCUUCGGGGGUAGAGCACUGUUUCGGCUAGGGGGUCAUCCCGACUUACCAAACCGAUGCAAACUCCGAAUACCGAAGAAUGUUAUCACGGGAGACACACGGCGGGUGCUAACGUCCGUCGUGAAGAGGGAAACAACCCAGACCGCCAGCUAAGGUCCCAAAGUCAUGGUUAAGUGGGAAACGAUGUGGGAAGGCAUAGACAGCCAGGAUGUUGGCUUAGAAGCAGCCAUCAUUUAAAGAAAGCGUAAUAGCUCACUGGUCGAGUCGGCCUGCGCGGAAGAUGUAACGGGGCUAAACCAUGCACCGAAGCUGCGGCAGCGACACUUAGGUGUUGUUGGGUAGGGGAGCGUUCUGUAAGCCGUUGAAGGUGACCUGUGAGGGUUGCUGGAGGUAUCAGAAGUGCGAAUGCUGACAUAAGUAACGAUAAUGCGGGUGAAAAACCCGCACGCCGGAAGACCAAGGGUUCCUGUCCAACGUUAAUCGGGGCAGGGUGAGUCGACCCCUAAGGCGAGGCUGAAAAGCGUAGUCGAUGGGAAACAGGUUAAUAUUCCUGUACUUGGUGUUACUGCGAAGGGGGGACGGAGAAGGCUAGGCUAGCCGGGCGACGGUUGUCCCGGUUUAAGCAUGUAGGCGGAGUGACUUGGUAAAUCCGGUUGCUUAUCAACGCUGAGGUGUGAUGACGAGUCACUACGGUGAUGAAGUAGUUGAUGCCAAGCUUCCAGGAAAAGCCUCUAAGCAUCAGGUAACAUUAAAUCGUACCCCAAACCGACACAGGUGGUCAGGUAGAGAAUACUCAGGCGCUUGAGAGAACUCGGGUGAAGGAACUAGGCAAAAUGGUGCCGUAACUUCGGGAGAAGGCACGCUGGCAUUAGGUAAUGGGACUUGCUCCCGGCGCCGAAGCCAGUCGCAGAUACCAGCUGGCUGCAACUGUUUAAUAAAAACACAGCACUGUGCAAACACGAAAGUGGACGUAUACGGUGUGACGCCUGCCCGGUGCUGGAAGGUUAAUUGAUGGGGUCAGCCGCAAGGCGAAGCUCUUGAUCGAAGCCCCAGUAAACGGCGGCCGUAACUAUAACGGUCCUAAGGUAGCGAAAUUCCUUGUCGGGUAAGUUCCGACCUGCACGAAUGGCGUAAUGAUGGCCAGGCUGUCUCCACCCGAGACUCAGUGAAAUUGAACUCGCUGUGAAGAUGCAGUGUACCCGCGGCAAGACGGAAAGACCCCGUGAACCUUUACUAUAGCUUGACACUGAACAUUGAGCCUUGAUGUGUAGGAUAGGUGGGAGGCAUUGAAGUGUGGACGCCAGUCUGCAUGGAGCCAACCUUGAAAUACCACCCUUUAAUGUUUGAUGUUCUAACUCGGCCCCGUGAUCCGGGGUGAGGACAGUGUCUGGUGGGUAGUUUGACUGGGGCGGUCUCCUCCCAAAGAGUAACGGAGGAGCACGAAGGUUAGCUAAUCACGGUCGGACAUCGUGAGGUUAGUGCAAAGGCAUAAGCUAGCUUGACUGCGAGAGUGACGGCUCGAGCAGGUACGAAAGUAGGUCUUAGUGAUCCGGUGGUUCUGAAUGGAAGGGCCAUCGCUCAACGGAUAAAAGGUACUCCGGGGAUAACAGGCUGAUACCGCCCAAGAGUUCAUAUCGACGGCGGUGUUUGGCACCUCGAUGUCGGCUCAUCACAUCCUGGGGCUGAAGUAGGUCCCAAGGGUAUGGCUGUUCGCCAUUUAAAGUGGUACGCGAGCUGGGUUUAGAACGUCGUGAGACAGUUCGGUCCCUAUCUGCCGUGGGCGUUGGAAGAUUGAGAGGGGCUGCUCCUAGUACGAGAGGACCGGAGUGGACGAAUCACUGGUGUUCGGGUUGUCAUGCCAAUGGCAUUGCCCGGUAGCUAAAUUCGGAAGAGAUAACCGCUGAAAGCAUCUAAGCGGGAAACUUGCCUCGAGAUGAGUCUUCCCUGGGGCUUUAAGCCCCCUGAAGGAACGUUAAAGACUAUGACGUUGAUAGGCUGGGUGUGUAAGUGCAGCGAUGCAUUGAGCUAACCAGUACUAAUGAUCCGUGAGGCUUAACCUU